rnacentral:lncRNA from 1 species
ACAUGGGGACAGGGAACAUGUGUGGGGUGGUGGGGACAGGGGUGGGGACAGGGCACCCAUGUGGGGCGGUGGGGAUGGGGAUGGAGAUGUGGCGCCCAAGUGCGUCGGUGAGGAUGGGGACAUGGCACCCAUAUGGGUUGGUGGGGAUGGCGAUGGGCAUGUGGCACCCAUGUGGGUUGUUGGGGACGGGGAUGGGGACGUGGCACCCAUGUGGGUCAGUGGCAUGGGGACAGGGAUGGGGACGUGGUACCCGUGUGGGUUGGUGGGGACAGGGACAGGGAUGGGGACGUGGCACCCAUGUGGGUCAGCAGCACGGGGAUGGGGAUGGGGAUGGGGACACGGCACCCAAAUGUGUCGGUGGGGAUGGGGAUGGGGACAGGGCACCCAUGUGGAUCGGUGGCACGGGGGACAGGGAUGGGGACGUGGCACAUGGGUCAGUGGGGACAGGGAUGGGGACGGGGACAUGGCAUCCCUGUGGGUCGGUGGGGAUGGGGACGGGGAUGGGGACAUGGCACCCACAUGGGUCAGUGGGGACAGGGAUGGGGACGUGGCAUCCGCACGGGCCAGCGGCAUGGGGAUGGGGCACAUAUGUGGGGUGGUGGGGACGGGGAUGGGGAUGGGGAUGGGGAUGGGGACAGGGCACCCAUUUGGAUCGGUAGCAUGGAUACAGGGAUGGGAACACGGCACCCAAGUGGGUCCAUGGGGACAGGGGUGGGGAUGGGGACGUGGCAUCCCUGUGGGUCAGUAGGGAUGGGGACAUGGCACAUGGGUCGGUGGGGACAGGGAUGGGAUGGGGACAUGGCACCCAUGUGGGUCGGCAGCAUGGGGACAAGGAUGGGGACAUGGCACCCAUAUGGGUUGGUGGGAAUGGGGGCAGGGACACGGACAGGGCACACGUGUGGGAAAGUGGGGACAGGGAUGGGGACGUGGCACCUAUGUGGGUCAGUGGGGUUGGGGACAGGGCACCCACAUGGGUUGGUGGGGACAUGGAUGGGGAUGGGGAUG